rnacentral:rRNA from 1 species
GAUUAACGCUAGCGGCAGGCAUAAUACAUGCAAGUUGAACGGGAUUAGUUGUAGCAAUACGACUAUGAGAGUAGCGCACGGGUGCGUAACGCGUAUGCAACCUGCCUUCAUCUGGGGAAUAGCCCCUCGAAAGAGGGAUUAAUACCGCAUAACAUAGUGAGUAGGCAUCUACUUACUAUUAAAACUACGGUGGAUGAAGAUGGGCAUGCGUGACAUUAGCUAGUUGGUAGGGUAAUGGCCUACCAAGGCUACGAUGUCUAGGGGGUCUGAGAGGAUGUCCCCCCACACUGGUACUGAGAUACGGACCAGACUCCUACGGGAGGCAGCAGUAGGGAAUAUUGGUCAAUGGGCGAAAGCCUGAACCAGCCAUGCCGCGUGCAGGAUGACGGCCCUAUGGGUUGUAAACUGCUUUUGUACGGGAAGAAACCUCAUUACGUGUAAUGAGUUGACGGUACCGUGAGAAUAAGGAUCGGCUAACUUCGUGC